rnacentral:rRNA from 1 species
GAUGAACGCUGGCGGCGUGCUUAACACAUGCAAGUCGAACGGACCUUGAAGAGCUUGCUCUUCUUGGUUAGUGGCGGACGGGUGAGUAACGCGUGGGUAACCUGCCCUAUGCAGGGGGAUAGCGUUUGGAAACGAACGCUAAUACCGCAUAAACUAUAGAAGCUGCAUGGCUUCGAUAGCAAAGAUUUAUCGGCAGAGGAUGGACCCGCGUUGGAUUAGCUAGUUGGUGAGAUAACAGCCCACCAAGGCGACGAUCCAUAGCCGGCCUGAGAGGGUGAACGGCCACAUUGGGACUGAGACACGGCCCAAACUCCUACGGGAGGCAGCAGUGGGGAAUAUUGCACAAUGGGCGCAAGCCUGAUGCAGCGACGCCGCGUGAAGGAUGAAGGUCUUCGGAUUGUAAACUUCUAUCAGCAGGGAAGAAUAAAUGACGGUACCUGACUAAGAAGCACCGGCUAACUACGUGCCAGCAGCCGCCGCAG